rnacentral:rRNA from 1 species
UACGAAGGGUGCAAGCGUUACUCGGAAUUACUGGGCGUAAAGCGUGCGUAGGUGGUUUGUUAAGUCUGAUGUGAAAGCCCUGGGCUCAACCUGGGAAUUGCAUUGGAUACUGGCAGGCUAGAGUGCGGUAGAGGGUAGUGGAAUUCCCGGUGUAGCAGUGAAAUUCGUAGAUAUCGGGAGGAACACCGGUGGCGAAGGCGGCCAUCUGGACGGAUACUGACGCUGAGACGCGAAAGCGUGGGGAGCAAACAGG